GGUUGCGAUCAUACCAGCACUAAUGCACCGGAUCCCAUCAGAACUCCGCAGUUAAGCGUGCUUGGGCGAGAGUAGUACUAGGGUGGUGACCCCCUGGGAAGUCCUCGUGUUGCAACCC
rnacentral:rRNA from 1 species